rnacentral:rRNA from 1 species
CUCUUAUAGUUAUUAUUAUAAGUCCAACCUGCUCAAUAGAAUAUCUUUCAAUAGCCGCAGUCUCCUGUGCUAAGGUAGCAUAAUCAUUUGUCUUUUAAUUAAAGACUAGUAUGAACGGUUCCACACUUAAAACCUAUCUCAAAAACACUUAUUUAACCUAUUUUAAAUAUCACAAAAUAUUUAUCCAUAAAAAAGACGACAAGACCCUAUCAAACUUCAACUAUAGUUCAGCUGGGGCAGCUAUUCAAAAAUAACUUCCACGUUACUACUCUUCCCUAACCCCAGUCCUACCCUAGGUAAUUAUCUGAUCAAGUUACUGUAGGGAUAACAGCGCAAUGACUUUCCAAAGUUCUUAUUUCAAAAGAUUCUUGCGACCUCGAUGUUGAAUUAACCCCACUCUCAGACGCAACCGUCUGAGCAAGCAGGUCUGUUCGACCUUUAAAAGGUUACG